CCAUCGUGUACAUCCCCCCACAUCGUGCACACGGGCACUAUCAUCAUCCACCUCUCACGCCACCAUCAUCACCGGCAUGUGCAUCCCCCCACAUCGUGCACACACACGGUUACAGUCAUUAUACACAAUAUCAUUCAUCAUGCACAACACACACAUUUAUAUAUCAUCAUACUACAAUAGUGCAUGAAUCCAUAGCAAUCACAUAUCACAAUAUAAAACCAUUUUGCAAAAGCUUGUUCCCAAGGCACUUGUCUUUAUGAAAAACUUGAUAAUUCAUUCAAAUGGGUGGCAAAUACAUUAUAUU
rnacentral:lncRNA from 1 species